CGGAAGGUCCGGGCGUUAUCCGGAUUUAUUGGGGUUUAAAGGGGAGCGUAGGCCGCGCCUUAAGCGUGUUGUGAAAUCCGGGUGCUCAACAUCCGGCUUGCAGCGCGAACUGGGGCGCUUGAGUGCGCAGAAAGUAGGCGGAAUUCGUGGUGUAGCGGUGAAAUGCUUAGAUAUCACGAGGAACUCCGAUUGCGAAGGCAGCCUACUGUAGCGCUACUGACGCUGAUGCUCGAAAGCGUGGGUAUCGAACAGGAUU
rnacentral:rRNA from 1 species